ensembl:lncRNA
CUUAUUUUGGUUGCUACUUAAAUGUAAUAUUCGCAAAACAUAUGACACUGAACAUAUAAUUCACAAGUGUGGUAUAAUAGAUUUCAGCAGAUGAAAAUACUCCUAAUCUUUUACAGUGAGGGUGAUGAGGCACUGGAGCAGGUUACCUAGUGAUGUGGUUGGUGCCCCAAACCUGGAGACUUUCAAGACCAGGCUGGAUCAGGCCUUGGACAACCUGAUGUAGCUGUGGCAUCCCUGUGUUUUGCAGGGGAGUUGGACUAGAUGGCCCUCAGAGGUCCCUUUGAACUCUGAGGAUUCUAUGACUCUAUAAUUCUAAUCCUGCCUGCAUUAGAUUGUGGAUGACUAUUUGACUGGAGUUUAAACCUGCAUCAAUCAGUAUGUGUCAUCUGUCCCUGGUUUUAGUCUGUUACUUUUCUUACCAUGCAGUGGGUACAAUUCAAGAAACAAGAUUUGCACCUAUCUCUUCUUGUGGGCAGACUGUUCUCAAGCCUACCAGCAAGGAAGAACUGAUUUAUGACUAUUGGUCAUAGCAUUAAUAUGAAACGUCUUGAUAAUGACAGAAGAUGCUACUUGGUUGUCAGAAUAUUUUACACAAGUGGAAUUGUUACAACUGUUGUUCUUUUUACAGGAUGAGAAGGUGAAGGGAAAUCCUUAAGACCACUCUUCAAGUGGAGGAAGCAGGAUAGAAGACUCAUAAUCAUGUCCUAACAGCGCUUCCAUGACUGAGAGAUAAUGGACACAUCUGCAUCAUGAUCAAAAGUAUAGUGUGAGCCUAUCUGAGCUUACUUCAGAAAUUCAGGCUUGACCUCUGAGGGUUUAUGCUAAUGUAUUUGGUGUUCAUUCAGUAUCUAGCAUAGUGGUCCAUGAUCCAUCACUGUGCUCCCAAGGUGCUCCUGCAAGACAGAUUUCAGCCACCGUUCCCUUUGUAUAGGUACCUUUACCUGUGAAUCUGAAGAGAAUGCUGUGUGGACUGUGAAUUCCUGUCAGAAGACACGGUAAGUAUUUGGACAGCUAAUUCAUGCAGGUCCCUGAGCUACCACUGCUAGUAUUAAGCUCACUAGUUAAAGCCGCUUUAGAUGAAUGCAGCUACAGCAGAAGCUGAAUGAUAAAUAUUCCCAAAUGUAACCAAACAAACUGGCAAACUCUGAAUAAAUAUAUGAAAUACAUCGUAGUAGUCACAAACUCUGCUUGUUACUCUCAAGAGGAAUAAAUUUUGUUUAGGGCCACAAACCAGGCCCUCUUUUACAGCAUUUUGGAUUUUAUGCUACCUUACAAGCGCAAAAGGACAAUAAAGCAAUGGUAAAUAUUCAAAAAUUACUUUACCAUGGACUGUGUUAUCUCACUUAUAUCUUUCUAUCCUACCCCUAAGGUCAGACAUACAGGGUGGUUGUUACAUACUGUGCUUGUGCACCGGUGACAUCUGGAUGAAAACGAGACAUAUAGCUAUAGGAUGUUGUAAAAAAAACGUCAGCCAUUCUUUUCAUGUUGUAAAAGACAAUAACAAAUGGAGUUGUCAAUGGUAGUAAUCCCAUCCAUGUAUAAAUCCCAGAAGACUAGAAACAGCGUUCUUGGAAAUGUUGUCAUCCCAAAAAAUCCAAGCAUAGAAGAUAAAGCUGUUCAAAGGAGCUGGUCUUCCGCCUGGUAGUAGAGAUCAGUCAUCCUUGACUUAAAAUCCAAUAAAAUUGGAUUCUACUUAGUCCAAUAGGAAUAGCUCUUGUUCUCAAUGUCUAACAUGAAGUGGUCCAUCAGAUGGACACCACAGUUCACCUUUGCAUUCCAGCUACACAAACAGUUAUGAAAGGAACUUCUUACGACUGCAGAGAAGCUGCCAGGAGAGAGAUGGGAAGCAGACAGGCAGUUCUGCUUACUGGAACUCAUCUGUGUGAAUUUGCUUUAGCUGCCAUGCAAUCUUCAGAAGAUAUAAGAAAAUGACAGUUUACCCAGAGAAAGGAGAUAAAAGGACAUCCAUGGGAACUACUAGAAUAUCAGCAAGAAAACUAAACAUCAUGCAGGACAGACCUGUAUCCACCAUACAGAACAUAAAAAAUGAGGAGCAUCUGCAUAAUACAGUGUUGCUUACAGAAAGCUAAAGAAAGAGUAAGCAGGUACAACAUGUUCUUAAAUACUGUUGAGAAAGUGUUGAAUGUAUUUGAACAUAAUUUUCUAGCUUUCGUUCCUUGUCAUCUCUAACAAGUCUGUGGAAUGUGAUGGGCCUCUGACAUAAACUGAUAGCCAUCAAGGUUUGUUACACUGAUCAGAAUGUAAUCAGAGCACCCAAAAUCAUGUCAGCUGACGCUGAGUAUCAUGGUGAAUCACAGGUACUCUGCUAACAGAUAACACAACAGAAAUUAAUCACAGUGAAACACU